CACGUAUUUAGCCGGGGCUUCUUAGUCAAGUACCGUCAUUUUCUUCCUUGCUGAUAGAAGUUUACAUACCGAAAUACUUCAUCCUUCACGCGGCGUCGCUGCAUCAGGGUUUCCCCCAUUGUGCAAUACUCCCUACUGCUGCCUCCCGUAGGAGUUUGGGCCGUGUCUCAGUCCCAAUGUGGCCGAUCACUCUCUCAAGUCGGCUACUGAUCGUUGCCUUGGUGGGCCGUUACCCCUCCAACUAGCUAAUCAGACGCGGGUCCAUCUUGUACCACCGGAGUUUUUCACACUGUAUCAUGCGAUACUGUGCGCUUAUGCGGUAUUAGCAGUCGUUCCAACUGUUAUCCCCUGUACAAGGCAGGUUACCCACGCGUUACUCACCCGUCCGCCACUCAGUCACCUCAAUUGUUCAAUCUCUAGCAAGCUAGGUCAAAUCGAACGGGAGAGGUGCUUCGUUCGACUUGCAUGUAUUAAGCACGCCGCAGCGUUCACU
rnacentral:rRNA from 1 species